CUUUUUAAUUUUGGCCCCAAAAAUUUUCACUACUUUUUAGUUUCCCACCAAAAUUUGACCCCAUUACAUUUCAGCAAAAUAGUUUUGCUUCCCCCAAAAUUAGACCCCAUUACAUUUCAGCAAAGUAGCUUUACUUUCCCCAAAAUUAGACUCUUCUAAGCUUCGACUCACUCAGUUAAUUUCUCAAUGAUUUCAGCAAAGUAGCAAGCCGUUCACUUCGACUCCGUUGUCAUCUUCACUAAGAGGUUUAGUUUUUCUCUAUUAACCAAAACUUACAGUGAAUAACUUUUGGAUCUUCAUAUUGGGUCCUUCAAUUCUUGCCCAAAUUUGUCUCUGAUUUCCUAUAAAACUUCAACAACCUCCAUUUUCAAUCAAGGAUCAAGAUGAGAAGGCAAAGAGGAGUUCUUUCUUCAAGGUUUGCAUUUUAUAGAGCUUCUUACUUCUUUUUGCUGAUUUGUUGGACUUGAUGAAGAGACUUUGGCGCGAUCACUCAUAAUAAUUAUUUUGGUAAGUGAUCUGAGGCUAAAACAGAGCAGGUGAUGUAAGAGACUAGAGCAUCGUUCUCUAACAAUGCAUAGAGGAGGAGAUUUCAAGUUUGAGCAAACAGAGAGAAGGUCGGUUACAUUAUGUGGAGGAGCGAUUUAUGCGUGCAUGAUUAGUAAGAUGGCAUUAUCAUUCCUUCUUCGAUUCUCGUCCCUUCGAUACAGACUCUUCGGAUGCUUUACGGAUUUGCAAUUUUUAAAUUGAUUUGUAAUAUGUUUCAUAGUAUGAAAGUUACAUUUUUGUUAUUGUUAAUUAUUUUAGCUAACUUGAUGUCAUUUUAUAUUAAUGUGAAAGGUGACAAAUAAAAUUUUUGAUGAAAAA